ACGAAUCGAUCUUAAAAGGCGGCCAAAAAGUUAUUGAAAAGUUUUUGAUACGUUUCGUGUAGUUAAGUGAGUCUCCGUGUCUAGAAAGUCUGGGAAAUAUGACACCCCAGGCCGUAAAAGGCAAAUAAUUCGUAUGCAAAGCUACGCUGUCAAGAAUGAGAUUGGAACUCACAGCUAUGGCCUGGAGUCUCUCCUGCUGUGUUAAAUCCUCCGACAUCCUGGACAUAAAGGAAAUCCUGACGCUGACCCAUGGGCAAGGCCCACAUCACAGGAGAAUCCCAGGAAACUCAAACAGGAAAAAUCUGACAUAGAAUAACAAAUAGAUGAAAAUAACCUCCAAUCAUGUGCAGAGAUAUUACAUGGGUUGAACGUUUUUCUGUAAGGAUUUGGAAUGUGCAUUUAUAACUUGGAAGUACAUUUUAAUUGCAGUAGGCUACAGCACCGUAAAGAUGUGAAAAGAUAGGCUACUAAAGUCAACAGCAGCCAGUAAAAGCUUGUCCCGGGAAAAUACUGAUUAUUAAGGUGAUUUAAAUUCCCCACAGAAAGUCCUGCAAUACAGAAGAGAAAGACAAUGUAGAUAGUAGCUCAGCAUAGUCACACAUGAAUUCAGUUGAGCUAAUGUACAGUGAUACCAAAUCCUACUAGAUGUACUGAUAAGAUACUGAAAAAAAGCCUUGGCCCAGGAUACCAGUGUGGAGACGAAAACAAGGUCAACCAGAAAAUGGGUAGAUGUACACAGCAAAGGCCAAGUCAAGGAUGGUACAAUGAUGUCUUUUGUAGCCUUUGGUUUUA